rnacentral:rRNA from 1 species
UAGGGAAUCUUCGGCAAUGGACGAAAGUCUGACCGAGCAACGCCGCGUGAGUGAAGAAGGUUUUCGGAUCGUAAAACUCUGUUGUUAGAGAAGAACAAGGACGUUAGUAACUGAACGUCCCCUGACGGUAUCUAACCAGAAAGCCACGGCUAACUACGUGCCAGCAGCCGCGGUAAUACGUAGGUGGCAAGCGUUGUCCGGAUUUAUUGGGCGUAAAGCGAGCGCAGGCGGUUUCUUAAGUCUGAUGUGAAAGCCCCCGGCUCAACCGGGGAGGGUGAUUGGAAACUGGGGGACUUGAGUGCAGAAGAGGAGAGUGGAAUUCCAUGUGUAGCGGUGAAAUGCGUAGAUAUAUGGAGGAACACCAGUGGCGAAGGCGGCUCUCUGGUCUGUAACUGACGCUGAGGCUCGAAAGCGUGGGGAGCAAACAGG